rnacentral:rRNA from 1 species
GUACGAAUGUAUUCAGUGACGCAGUUAACGCAAUAAGUGCUCCGCCUGGGGAGUACGGUGGCAACACUAAAACUCAAAGGAAUUGACGGGGACCCGCACAAGCAGCGGAGCAUGUGGUUUAAUUCGAAGCAACGCGAAAAACCUUACCAGGGCUUGACAUCCCUCUGACCGGAUCUUAACCGAUCCUUUCUUCGGACAGAGGAGACAGGUGGUGCAUGGUUGUCGUCAGCUCGUGUCGUGAGAUGUUGGGUUAAGUCCCGCAACGAGCGCAACCCUUGUCGUCAGUUACUAACAUUAAGUUGAGGACUCUGACGAGACUGCCGAGGUCAACUCGGAGGAAGGUGGGGAUGACGUCAAAUCAUCAUGCCCCUUAUGUUCUGGGCUACACACGUGCUACAAUGGUCGGUACAAUGAGAGGCAAUACAGUGAUGUGGAGCAAAUCACCAAAACCGAUCCCAGUUCGGAUUGCAGGCUGCAACUCGCCUGCAUGAA